UACACAGUUACGCCGUCUAAACCACUGAAAUGUGGCAAUUUCAGGACAGACCCGUGGAGAUCUCUGGAUCUAGAGCUGGGAUGGACGAUGACGGACGGAUUGUUACCCCUCUGGAGGGUCAGACGGGUACAGAGGUGUGGGUCUUCUGGGAGCGGAGUUGCACACUUUUAUAUCUGGAUGUUUUU